rnacentral:rRNA from 1 species
UACCUGAGGAAUAAGCACCGGCUAACUCCGUGCCAGCAGCCGCGGUAAUACGGAGGGUGCAAGCGUUAUCCGGAUUCACUGGGUUUAAAGGGUGUGUAGGCGGGCAUGUAAGUCCGAGGUGAAAUCUCCGAGCUCAACUUGGAAACUGCCUUGGAUACUAUAUGUCUUGAAUAUCGUUGAGGUAGGCGGAAUAUGUCAUGUAGCGGUGAAAUGCUUAGAUAUGACAUAGAACACCGAUUGCGAAGGCAGCUUGCUAAACGAUUAUUGACGCUGAGGCACGAAAGCGUGGGGAUCAAACAGGAUUAGAUACCCUGGUAGU